GCCCCCGUAGCUCAAUGGUCUAGAGCAGACGCCUUUUAAGCGUUCAGGUUGCGGGUUCGAGUCCCGCCGGGGGCA
rnacentral:tRNA from 1 species